ACGAUAGACAACGGUGCUGGUUCGCCGUGCCCGUCAGGGGCGCGGCGUCGCAAGAGGGAACCCGGUGGGAAUCCGGGACUGCCCCGCAGCGGUGAGUGGGAACGACCGCCGUCAUCAAGCACUGGACCGCACGGUCUGGGAAGCGACGGCCAGUAGGCGACCGUACCGGUCACGCCCGCGAGUCCGAAGACCUGCCCGCACCGCGCACGCCAU
rnacentral:ncRNA from 1 species